GGGUUGUUAGCUCAGCCGGUUUAGAGCAUGUGCCUUACAAGCACAGGGUCAAUGGUUCGAAUCCAUUACAACCCACCA
rnacentral:tRNA from 1 species